AGUUUGAUCCUGGCUCAGAUUGAACGCUGGCGGCAGGCUUAACACAUGCAAGUCGAGCGGAAACGAUGAUAGCUUGCUAUCAGGCGUCGAGCGGCGGACGGGUGAGUAAUACUUAGGAAUCUACCUAGUAGUGGGGGAUAGCACGGGGAAACUCGUAUUAAUACCGCAUACGACCUACGGGAGAAAGGGGGCAGUUUACUGCUCUCGCUAUUAGAUGAGCCUAAGUCGGAUUAGCUAGAUGGUGGGGUAAAGGCCUACCAUGGCGACGAUCUGUAGCUGGUCUGAGAGGAUGAUCAGCCACACCGGGACUGAGACACGGCCCGGACUCCUACGGGAGGCAGCAGUGGGGAAUAUUGGACAAUGGGGGAAACCCUGAUCCAGCCAUGCCGCGUGUGUGAAGAAGGCCUUUUGGUUGUAAAGCACUUUAAGCAGUGAAGAAGACUCUUCGGUUAAUACCCGGAGACGAUGACAUUAGCUGCAGAAUAAGCACCGGCUAACUCUGUGCCAGCAGCCGCGGUAAUACAGAGGGUGCAAGCGUUAAUCGGAAUUACUGGGCGUAAAGGGAGCGUAGGUGGCUCUAUAAGUCAGAUGUGAAAUCCCCGGGCUUAACCUGGGAACUGCAUCUGAAACUGUAGAGCUAGAGUAUGUGAGAGGGAGGUAGAAUUUCAGGUGUAGCGGUGAAAUGCGUAGAGAUCUGAAGGAAUACCGAUGGCGAAGGCAGCCUCCUGGCAUAAUACUGACACUGAGGCUCGAAAGCGUGGGUAGCAAACAGGAUUAGAUACCCUGGUAGUCCACGCCGUAAACGAUGUCUACUAGUCGUUGGGUCCCUUGAGGACUUAGUGACGCAGCUAACGCAAUAAGUAGACCGCCUGGGGAGUACGGCCGCAAGGUUAAAACUCAAAUGAAUUGACGGGGGCCCGCACAAGCGGUGGAGCAUGUGGUUUAAUUCGAUGCAACGCGAAGAACCUUACCUGGUCUUGACAUAUCUAGAAUCCUGCAGAGAUGCGGGAGUGCCUUCGGGAAUUAGAAUACAGGUGCUGCAUGGCUGUCGUCAGCUCGUG
rnacentral:rRNA from 2 species